rnacentral:rRNA from 1 species
UACGGAGGGUGCAAGCGUUAUCCGGAUUCACUGGGUUUAAAGGGUGCGUAGGUGGGCAGGUAAGUCAGUGGUGAAAUCUCCGAGCUUAACUCGGAAACUGCCAUUGAUACUAUCUUUCUUGAACACCGUGGAGGUCAGCGGAAUAUGUCAUGUAGCGGUGAAAUGCUUAGAUAUGACAUAGAACACCAAUUGCGAAGGCAGCUGGCUACACGAAUAUUGACACUGAUGCACGAAAGCGUGGGGAUCAAACAGG